CUACACAAGUACCAAAUAUCAUAUAGCAAUAAAACAACAAAUAAAAAAAAGAAGAUAACAUUCAUCAUCUUCUCUCUCGAAUAACAUUCGGUGUUUUCUUUUAUUUUUUCUUCCAUCAUAUAAUAAUAAUCAUGUCUGGUCAGAUAUAUAAAAUCUUUGACGCGUCUGACUGAAUCAGCGUUUGAAUGAAUCAGUAGUGCGUCCAACCGGAGUUGUGGUGGCGCAUCUGACCAGAGCAGCGUCUGAUCGGAGACCAAAUUAUUUUACAGGAAUAAUGCUAGAAGUUAAAGGAUCAAGUGUUGGAGUACUUGCCUCUGGACCGAAGACCUUGAGGCACGACGCAACAACCAUUUAUUCAUCUGGUUGGAUCCAUAUGCAUGUUUGAAAUAGGUAUUAUGGGUAUGGUUGCCCAAGAUUACAUUACUUUUUUGUUGAAUAUAUCAUGUAAGAUAUUGUAAGUAGAGUAUUUGGAAUGAAUGAAAACCAUAUUUUUUUGAGAAGCUA